GGAACAAAAUAAUAAAGAAAAAGAAUUAUUAUACAAGAUAUCAUUAUUAGAUAAAAAAAAACUCGUAGAGAAUAACUUGCCAUCAGUACACCAAGAAAGGGAAGGGUUGGAACUAGAAUUAAAAGUAAUAAGAGAAAAAAAUGUUAAAGGAAUAAUUACAAGAGCAAAGGCAAGAUGGCAAGUAGAGGGGGAAAAGGGAAGUAACUAUUUUUGUAAUUUGGAAAAAAAAACAUUAUACAGAAAAAAUUAUUCCCAAACUUAUUCUGG
rnacentral:lncRNA from 1 species